GGAGAAUUGGCCGAGUGGCUUAAGGCACCAUCUUGGAAAGGUGGCGAAGCGCAAGCUUCCGUGAGUUCGAAUCUCAUGUUCUCCGCCA
rnacentral:tRNA from 1 species